CACCUCAUCAAUCGGAAGGAAUUCCUUCCGGUCAAUGGGGUUGUUAUACCUCAUCGAUCUGAAGGAAAUCCUUCUGGUCGACAAGGUGUAACAACCUCAUUGACCGGAAGGGGAUUCCUUCCGGUCGAUGAGGUAUAACAACCUCAUCGACCGGAAAGGAUUCCUUCCGGUCGGUGAGGCG
rnacentral:miRNA from 1 species